GGUUACAAAAAAGGCAAAACAAGCCUUAAACUUGGUUCUUGGUUGUUUUCUGCUCACUUUAAUAGCAGCUUAGUUGUAGACUACAUGGUAUGGCCAUAUAGUAAGAAGCCCUCUGGGAUUGUUAAGGUUUAGCUCCGCAUCGGUGUGACUUUUUCAAUAUCGUGCUUGCAGAAGUCAAGGCAGGGAGCCACGUGGAAAAGAGUGACAGAAGAGAGCUGAGCGGAGUGUGGUCACUCUACUGUGUCAGAGGGAAGCAAUGUCCAAUUCCUCUGACAGGCUUAGCACUCUUGCUUGAUGUUUUUGAUUUGGAGAGGCCAAGCGAUGAGCGAAUUGAGAUCUCGGCCCGAGAGGUAACUUGGGCAAGGCGGUUCACAGAUGAAAGUAAAAAAACAGAAGACCUCCAAAGGCCAGCAGAUGAGCAGCGCCGCACCCAACCUGGGAGAGGUGAAGCUGCACACUGAGAAGGACUGUGAGAAGGUCAUGUCUUCCCAUAUUUGCAGUCAGAUGAGCACUUGACAUUUUGAAGAGGAACCAGGCACUUGCAGCAACGUCCCGGCUCUCUGAUGUGGGAGUUCUGAGCAUCGAGGCUGCCUCGCGACCUAUGGCACUAAGAAAGCUAAGUAGAGGGAGCAGUGUCAGGGUCCGG